CCUGGAUUAGUGGCGAACGGGUGAGUAAACGUGAGUAACCUGCCCUUAACUCUGGGAUAAGCCUGGGAAACUGGGUCUAAUACCGGAUAUGACUCCUCAUCGCAUGGUGGGGGGUGGAAAGCUUUAUUGUGGUUUUGGAUGGACUCGCGGCCUAUCAGCUUGUUGGUGAGGUAAUGGCUUACCAAGGCGACGACGGGUAGCCGGCCUGAGAGGGUGACCGGCCACACUGGGACUGAGACACGGCCCAAACUCCUACGGGAGGCAGCAGUGGGGAAUAUUGCACAAUGGGCGCAAGCCUGAUGCAGCGACGCCGCGUGAGGGAUGACGGCCUUCGGGUUGUAAACCUCUUUCAGUAGGGAAGAAGCGAAAGUGACGGUACCUGCAGAAGAAGCGCCGGCUAACUACGUGCCAGCAGCCGCGGUAAUACGUAGGGCGCAAGCGUUAUCCGGAAUUAUUGGGCGUAAAGAGCUCGUAGGCGGUUUGUCGCGUCUGCCGUGAAAGUCCGGGGCUCAACUCCGGAUCUGCGGUGGGUACGGGCAGACUAGAGUGAUGUAGGGGAGACUGGAAUUCCUGGUGUAGCGGUGAAAUGCGCAGAUAUC
rnacentral:rRNA from 1 species